GCCUUUAGCAACACAAGUAUUAAAGGUCCCGCCUGCCCAGUGAGAUAUUUAACGGCCGCGGUAUUCUAACCGUGCAAAGGUAGCGUAAUCACUUGUCUUCUAAAUAAAGACUAGUAUGAACGGCUAAAUGAGGACAAACCUGUCUCAUGCAUCCAAUCAGUGAAACUGAUCUCCCAGUACAAAAGCUGGGAUUUACCCAUAAGACGAGAAGACCCUGUGGAGCUUUAAACCGACCACUAACACACAAAUACUACAAACUCAUAGUGAUAGGUUUUGAGUUGGGGCGACUUCGGAAUCAACACACCUUCCGAGAUCAAAGGCAACACCUUUCACCAAGGCCAACAAGCCAAAGAACACCAAACGACCCAGUUUAACUGAUCAACGAACCAAGUUACCCCAGGGAUAACAGCGCCAUCUUCUUCAAGAGUCCAUAUCGACAAGAAGGAUUACGACCUCGAUGUUGGAUCAGGACACCCAAAUGGUGCAGCCGCUAUUAUAGGUUCGUUUGUUCAACGAUUAACAGUC
rnacentral:rRNA from 1 species